GCCCCCCGAAUUGUGGUCUAGAAAGGCGCCAUCGGCCGCGCCCGCCGCUCAAAUCCCUUGGAACAGGGUAUCGGAGAAGGUGAGAAUCCUGUACCGUGGCGGACCGCGGCCGCACGAUGCGUCCUUGUCGAGUCGGGUUGCUUGGGAUUGCAGCUUGAAGUGGGUGGUAAAUUCCAUCUAAAGCUAAAUAUUGGCGAGAGACCGAUAGCGAACAAGUACCGUGAGGGAAAGAUGCAAAGAACUUUGAAAAGAGAGUCAAAGAGUGCUUGAAAUUGGUAGGAGGAAACCCGGUUGCGCCCAGCUUCGGCACGUCGACUCAGCCGCGUUCUUGCGCGGUGCACUUUGACGCGCCGUGUCAGCCGCCGCUCGGUGGGCGCCACACGGCCGGGGGUGAGGCUUCGGCUACCCCUCGAUCCCAGUGCGCGCCGGGCGCCGGCUGACGGAAUGGGCGCCACCGACCCGUCUAGAAACACGGACCAAGGAGUCUGACACGUGUGCGAGUACCCGGGUGGCAAGCCCGCGUGCGCAAUGAAAGUGAAGGGCAUGCCCUGCCAACCGACCUUGACCUGCUGUGAGGGGUUUGAGUGGAGCACAUCUGUCGGGACCCGAAAGAUGGUGAACUAUGCCUGAGGAGGGUGAAGCCAGAGGAAACUCUGGUGGAGGCUCGUAGCGAUACUGACGUGCAAAUCGUUCGUCGAACUUGGGUAUAGGGGCGAAAGACUAAUCGAACCAUCUAGUAGCUGGUUCCCUCCGAAGUUUCCCUCAGGAUAGCUUGAACGCAACGGUUUUGU
rnacentral:rRNA from 1 species